rnacentral:rRNA from 1 species
GACCUACUAGCCUACGACGGGUACGGGUUGUGAGAGCAAGAGCCCGGAGAUGGAUUCUGAGACACGAAUCCAGGCCCUACGGGGUGCAGCAGGCGCGAAAACUUUACAAUGCGGGAAACCGUGAUAAGGGAAUCUCGAGUGCCAGCAUAUAAUGUUGGCUGUCCAGAUGCCUAAAAAGCAUCUGUUAGCAAGGGCCGGGCAAGACCGGUGCCAGCCGCCGCGGUAACACCGGCGGCCCGAGUGGUAACCGCUUUUAUUGGGUCUAAAGGGUCUGUAGCCGGCCAAGUAAGUCCCUUGGGAAAUCUGGCAGCUUAACUGUCAGGCUGCUAGGGGAUACUGCUAGGCUUGGGACCGGGAGAGGUGAGAGGUACCUUGGGGGUAGGGGUGAAAUCUUGUGAUCCUCGGGGGACCACCAGUGGCGAAGGCGUCUCACCAGAACGGGUCCGACGGUAAGGGACGAAAGCUAGGGGCACGAACCGGAUUAGAUACCCGGGUAGUCCUAGCCGUAAACGAUGCUCGCUAGGUGUCAGUCACGGUGCGACCGUGAUUGGUGCCGUAGGGAAGCCGUGAAGCGAGC